AACUGCAGUCUUCCCUUCCUGGCUCUCAGACUCAAAGCUGCCCGCUUUCUCCACUCCAGCUGUUUGUGUUGAGUACAUCUGUCUUUUUGUUUUCUCUGUCUCUCAUUGCAUCUCUAAAGCAAGGCAGUUUUUACGCCAAGAUCAUCAGGACUUUUACAGGCGCUUGAAGAGGCUCAGAAAGCUAUCCAACAACUCUUUGGCAAAAUCAAAGAUAUCAAAGACAAAGCUGAAAAAUCAGAGCAAAUGGUGAAAGAAAUCACCCGUGAUAUUAAGCAAUUAGAUCACGCCAAACGCCACCUGACCACCUCAAUCACCACACUGAACCACCUGCACAUGCUGGCAGGAGGUGUCGACUCCCUCGAAGCCAUGACCAGGCGAAGACAAUACGGAGAAGUUGCUAAUCUCCUUCAGGGUGUGAUGAAUGUCCUGGAGCACUUCCACAAGUAUAUGGGGAUUCCGCAGAUCCGGCAGCUUUCCGAAAGAGUGAAGGCUGCACAGACUGAGUUAGGACAGCAAAUCCUGGCAGAUUUUGAAGAAGCGUUUCCUUCCCAGGGCACCAAG
rnacentral:misc_RNA from 1 species